UACGUAGGUGGCAAGCGUUGUCCGGAAUUAUUGGGCGUAAAGCGCGCGCAGGCGGUCAUUUAAGUCUGGUGUUUAAUCCCGGGGCUCAACCCCGGAUCGCACUGGAAACUGGAUGACUUGAGUGCAGAAGAGGAGAGUGGAAUUCCACGUGUAGCGGUGAAAUGCGUAGAGAUGUGGAGGAACACCAGUGGCGAAGGCGACUCUCUGGGCUGUAACUGACGCUGAGGCGCGAAAGCGUGGGGAGCAAACAGG
rnacentral:rRNA from 1 species